CAGUUCUAUAUUCUGAUUGGCUCAAUGAGAGUACAUUAUAAUAUAAAGCUGAUGGAUUGGCUAGCGGGAGAAAUACCAUGUGUGGCGUGUGAACUUGCUGAGGUGCGUGUGUCAGAGAACACUGAGAGACUUGGGAACACUGCUGCUAACCCUGGCUAGCACUGCUGGAGCAGUAUUAGCAUUAGCCGCUAACCGAAUUAAGCGCUAACUCUUUUGCCGUUCUGAGGCCUAUGCUUUGAAGGGGACUGACCAAAAGACUCGAGCAGAACAGCGUUCACAGUCGAGGUCCUCUUUUUCCAGAUGAAGUGGGGAGGGAACGGAGGGAUCGGGGGUAGAAGUCAGCAGGCUUCAGAUACGGCCCAAAAGAAUGUCUGGCCUCCUUUUGCACAGAUGUGUAAUCACAAAGGAAUGCCUGGAGCCCACUCUGCUUUUUCCACCGUUAGCCCCUGCACUCUCACAACAGUUUCCCACGCCUUCCAUGGAUCAUGGGGCAUAGUUUUCAUAUGCAGGCAAGCUGUGGCCAGUCAUCAGUACCUUACGACUUCAAGAAAACAAGAAAUCGUUUCCAGUGCUACACUCUUUCCACUCAUUUCCAGUCACUCACUGUAGCCUCUGCUGCUAUAUCAGUAUGUUUUACCUGUUCUCAGGAUCAAGAUCUAUGAUUGCAGAGCACAGCCUGAUAGACCAAUUAUAAGGAAGCAGAGGUCAUGUAAAAUUAAUUUUUAAUGUGAUAAAGUAGAAGGUUACAUACACUUAAUAUGUAACUUUUAGUUUUUCCCCAUGGUUGACCUUAAAAUACAAUUUUGCUGUAUCUUGAUUUCAUAAUUGUUUUAAUGAUUGAUAUGUUACUGUUUCUAUUUGAAGUCUAUUAAAGUAUUCAACCAUAUAAAAGUAUGCUAUUUGGAACAAAAGCAGUGCCUUAUAGUAUCCUGAACUAACAGAAAACUAAUCCAUUAGGCCCAAGCCACAAGCUAACAUGCUACCAUGAUUAAAUACAAUAUAUUUUGCUAUUUGUGUUGCUUUGUGUACAAGAUCAAUAAUGACUGGUUUGCAUGACCAUUUUCAAAAUGAACCUAUAAGAUUUACUCAGAGUGAACACAUCAUUACAAAUAUAGGGACUAUAGAAUGUUAACCUUUACAUAAAAGUAGUUCUGUCUGGUAAAACUAAAUAAUUGUGGUGGUUAUAUAACCAUUUAUUUUAUAAUAUAAAAAAAAGGUUUGAAUAUAUUUAGGAAUUUUAACGCCUUUUAAUUAUUCAUUUAGCUAUUUUCAUAAAAAUAGCAAGCUAUUUAAAUGUGCCCAAGAAUUCCCCUGUCCACCCUGUCAUUGGGGUUAACCUCGCCCCUUUAUGAAAGUAACCUUUAACAUCAGUGACAUCAUAACCUUCAUACUGUUUUAUUUUUAAGUGACUUUAAACAGUUGCUGGAUGUUCAGCACUUAAUAAUAUUAAUUAUACUUAAUAUUUCCCUUUUUUUCUGCACAUUAUAUAAAUCAAUGUUAUAUAAAGCCAAAAUAGAACAUUUUAAUUAUUUUUUUGAAUGUUCUGAUAUAUGAUGAAAUGACCCACUCUGACAUGUUUCCAUUGCUUUGCUCUUUUGUUCUGUAGCGGCCACUCACUGUAGCCUCUGCUGCUAUAUCAGUGUGUUUUACCUGUUCUCAAAAUCAUUAUCUAUGACAGUUCAUAACUGCUUGCAGAGAUCAGCAGAGGAAGCAGAUGUACAUUUAGGUUACAUAGAAGGUUCAUUUAAUAAAUACUGUAUUUAAUGUAAUUUUUGAUGUGUGAAGGGUUAAAAUGCACAUAAGACUAAUAUCUUCAUGUCAUGUAAUGAUUCAAUAUGCUGCUUGAUUUGUGCUCCUUUAUGUACCAGAUUAAUUUCCCAAACUAUCCCUUCCAAUAAACAGGCUGUUUGUUUAUGAAUUAAAUAUUUAUUUAUGUAAUGUAUAUGUAAAAUGAUGUCUGUUCUGACUAACUCUGACUCUGUUGUGCCUCAUUCAAAAACAAUACAAGCUGAAACACUCUUAUAACUUCAGAGUGAGUGGGUGGAGCUAAGCUGCUGUGAGGUAACCAAUCGGAGAUGAUAUGUUGUAUUUUGAAACAUGUACAUUUUUACAUAGUACUUUGUAAUAAAUAUAGACAUUUUCCAUAA